GUCUGUUUGAUAUUACAAUCAGUCUUGCCUGCCCACUGAGUUGUUAAAGGGCCGCGGUAUUCUGACCGUGCGAAGGUAGCAUAAUCAUUAGUCUUUUAAUUGAAGGCUGGUAUGAAAGGCAGCACAAAAAACAAUCUGUUUUUUAUAUAUUAUUUGAAUUUGACUUUUAAGUGAAGAGGCUUAAAUAAUCCUAAAAGACGAUAAGACCCUAUAAAACUUUAUAUUUAUUUAAAUGAUUUAAAUUUGUUAGUGAAACUUUUUCUUUUAUUAUAAUGUUUCAUUGGGGUGAUGAGAGUAUAAACUUAACUGCUUAAUUAUAUAGACAGUUAUAAUUGGAAUAAAUGGAAUGAUCCCCUCUAGGGAUUUUAAGAAAAAGUUACUUUAGGGAUAACAGCGUUAUUUUUUUUGAGAGUUCAUAUCGACAAAAGAGUUUGCGACCUCGAUGUUGAAUUAAAAUUUCCGUGUGGUGCAGUAGUCACUAUGGUAGGUCUGUUCGACCUUUAAAGUUUUACAUGAUUUGAGUUCAGACCGGCGUGAG
rnacentral:rRNA from 1 species